UCGCUUAUCGAUAAAUGAAUAAAUUUCAAUGAAUAACAUAGUAAUUGUAUUAAUUUUAUUGAUGAAUAUCAAAUUGAUCCGUGAUAAAUAUAAUUGCGAUAAAAAUAUUCCAAAGAUCCUGCAUCAAUAUUAAAACAAUAAUUUGAUUUGAUAAACUUACUAUUGAAUUCAAAUUUAGUUACGUGAGAUAAGAGUGAAAUUAAUAAAAAAUAAAUGAAGUUUGAAAAAAGUUUAAAAUUAAAUCGAUCAAAUUGAAUCAUAUGUUGUUUGAAAGUAAAAAAUAAAAAUUUGAAUUUAGCUUGAAAUUUCGAAAGAUACGAUUAAUAAAUUUGUUCGAAAAUUUUCGUUAUUGAUUUUUUGAUCAUAGACUGAAUAAUAUCAUUAAAAAAAAAGACCAGAUAAUAUUACAAUGAAACUUAUUACAACGUAGGAAAAAAUUAAUUGAAAUGAUAUGUUGCAAUCAAUUAUUCGAUUUAUUUCUCAGUAUUGUAUUCAUAAAUUGAAUUUUAAUUUUUUAAUGAAAAGUAUAAUUUAAAGACAAAUUUGGUUUAUAAAUAUAGUCAUCUAGCAAUGAAUAAAUCAAUCUGAAACCAAAUAGGAAAUGGAAUAAUUUAAUUAAAGGGAAAAUUAUUCAUUCAAAUUCUUAUAAACACAAUACAAAGUUAAUCCAUUACUGAUAAUAGCUAAAUUGACUGAUUAUAACUAAAAUAGGCGAUCACUUAGCGAUAAGAUUUGAUUAAUUUCUAAAAUUUGAUAUAUUUAUUUUAUUAAAAUGAUGAAUGAUAUAUUUAUUAAAUAAUUGCUGUUAUUCUAGGAAAUAGAAUUUAAUAAAAAUUCUCAUCAAAAACAAAAAUGCGUCAGAGAAAGAUUAUUUAAAAAAAAAAGAUGGCAGUGAUUAUUGAGCGAUAGAAAUUUGUUUACUUUGUUUUAUUUUUUCGUUUUGAAGUAGAAAAUUUCAAAGAAAACAAAAUUUUAAAUAUAAAUAAAGUAAUGGAAUAAAUUCUUCUAUUUUUUUAUUUUUGAAAAUAAAUGUGUAAAAUUCAAAAAUCAAAUAUAAGUGAUGAUAUAUUGCUUCAUUUUUUUUUAGAAAAAUACCGAAAAAAUUGAGUAACAAAAAAGGAUUGAUUUUUUUAAAUGAUAAAAUGAGCAAAUCAAAAUAUCAAAUUUGAGGGCCACAAAAUAAAAUCUAAGGAAAAUGAAAGUCGAAUGAAAUUACAUUUAAAUGAAUUGAAAAGAAAGAAUAAAUAAAUUUUGACAGAUUUUUUUUCAUUUCCUCUCCCUCUCUCUCUCUCCUUCUUCUUUUUCCUCAUCCUUCCUUUUUUCAUAUAUUUUGACAAUAAUUAGGAGAGUUUUUGUUUUGGUUGAAAUUUAAAAAAAAAAAUUUUUAAAUCGUUGUACGUAUGUAUGUAUUUGUGAAGUGUUCAAUUGUAUUUUAUCAUAAAGUUUAAUCGAUCACAUUCUAUCGUAUAAUAUUUGCAUCUAUUAAUCAAUGUUUAAAUGUGAUAUUUUUUUGAAUAAAAUUGCUUUGAUAAUAAUUUGAUGAAACUGAUCAUUAAAUAUGAAAAAUGGAUGUGUGCAUGUAAUGUUAAUGUUAUCAAUUUAUCGAUAAUUAAGGAAUGGGAUACGGAAAUGGAAAAUGGAAUUGAAAAUAGAACUAAGAAACGUAUGAUACGAAUAAUUUUUAUGCAAAUGAAAAAUUCAAUAAUGUAAAGAAAAGAGAGAGGAAAGAUUAUAAUGCAAAUGAAAUUGAAAUAGGAAAUGGAUAAUAUAAAAGAUUUUUGAUAUAUAUGAAAAUAAAAAUGGAACAGACAAUGUAAAAGAUUCGUGAUAAAAUGGAAUUGCAAAUAGGAAUUGUUAAUAUGAUAAAUUUUUAGCUUCUCUUAUAUAUGCUAAUGAUAUAAAUAAUGACAAAAAAAUGUUUCCUUUUUUUGCUUAAACAAAAAAGAAAAUCUGAAAGUUUAAAUUAUUAUUAUUUAAGGAAAAAGAAAAUCUGAAAGUUUAAAUUAUUAUUAUUUCUUUUCGUUUUAUUCUAUUCAUUAAUUAAAUUUACAUAUUUCCUAUUAUCAGCUUUUUCUGUCUUUUUAACAAAUCAUUGACAACAAAUUUUCUUUUUCUUCGUUUUUCUUAUUCAUUUCUUCUCUAUCAUUUUAAUUUGAAUUUGAAAUGCAAAAAAAACUUUGAACAUCUAUGUGACAUAUUUGAUGACGAAUAUAUCAAAUUUGUAAUUUUCACAGCUGACAAAAUGUUAUCCAUCUACUCUAUACUGCGCUGUUUUAAUAAAUUUAAUUAUUAUAUUAUAUUUUGAAUAUUCUUAUCCCAACAGAGAGAGAAAGAGAAAGAGAAAGAGAGAGAAGAGAAAGAAAUGGAACAUUUUUAUUUGUAAAUAUUAAAUAUUUUCAGUAACAAAUAUUAAAUAUUUUUUAUUAUCAAAAAAACGAGACUACUAUGAAGAAAAAGAAAGUUAUGUAAAGAAGAAGAGGAGGAAUAAAGAAAAACAGAGAAAGAGAGGGAGAGAAAGAGAUUGAGUAAUCAAAAAUGUUUUUUAUUUUUAAAUUAAUUAUUAAUCAUUAAAUCGUCUUCCUAAUUAUGGAUCAAAAUUUUUGAAGUUUCAAAAACAUUUCCUAUAUUUGUUUAUCAUUGAUACAUAGUAAUUAUCAAAUAUCAAUCAGCAUUGAUCUUCUCGAAUUUCUUCAUUCUCAUGAUGCUAUUUCUCUGUUUUCCUCUUUUCUUCCUUCUAUCAUUGUUAAUUUAUUGAUUAUGUGAUUUAUUGGAAAAAAUUAAAUUUUUAGUUAUCGUAAUUAAUUAUCAAAUUUUCAUGGGCUUUAUUCACUCUUCUCAUUUUAAUUUAAUUAUUGUAUUUAAUUAUUAUAUUUUUAACAAUGGCAUUUUUCUCGCGAAAGACUAAUCGAACUAUCUAGUAGCUGGUUCCCUCUGAAGUUUCCUCAGGAUAGCUGGAGUACGUAAUUAAAGCAGUUAUAUUCGGUAAAGCGAAUGAUUAGAGGAAUUAUGGGACGAAAUGUCUACAACCUAUUCUCAAACUUUCAAUGAGUAUGACGUCUUGCUUGCUUAAAUAAAUGAAUGAAGCAUAGACAUUGAAUGUGUACUCCAAGUGGGCCAUUUUUGGUAAGCAGAACUGGCGCUGUGGGAUGAACCAAACGUUGAGUUAAAGUGCCAAACUUUCCGCUCAUGAGACCCCAUGAAAGGCGUUGGUUGAUAUAGACAGCAGGACGGUGGCCAUGGAAGUUGGAAACCGCUAAGGAAUGUGUAACAACUCACCUGCCAAAUCAACUAGCCCUGAAAAUGGAUGGCGCUUGAGCGGAAGACUUAUACUCAACCGUUGCAUGGCUUGUGUUUUUAAAAUUUUGGAAAAAAAAAUCAAAAAAAAAAAAACCUGGCCGCAACGAGUAAGAGGGUCGCAAUGGUUAGCGUUGAAGACUUUGGGCGUAGGCCCAGUUGGAGCUUCCAUUGGUGCAGAUCUUGGUGGUAGUAGCAAAUAUUCAAGUGAGAUCCUUGAAGACUGAAGUGGAGAAGGGUUCCACGUGAACAGCAGUUGAAUGUGGGUCAGUCGAUCCUAAGAUAUUGGCUAAUGCCGUUUUGUAAAAAUAGAGGAAUGGAGAAUGUAAAUCCAUCUGAUUGAAUCGAAAGGGAAACGGGUUAAUAUUCCCGUACCUGGACACGGAGAUAAAUACUCAUUAUGAGAAUUUAGCGCGGUAACGCAAAUGAACUCGGAAACAUUAAAUAAAGCCCGAGCCAGAGUUCUCUUUUCUGGUUAAGGAACGGACUCCCUGGAAUCGGUUCAGCCGGAGAUAGGGACGUUGUUUCCGUAAAGCGCCACGGUUCCUGUGGUGUCUCGUGCGCUUUAUUUGAUCCAUGAAAAUCCGAGGGAAGCUAUUUGAAUUUCGUGCCAGAUCGUACCCAUAUCCGCAGCAGGUCUCCAAGGUGAACAGCCUCUAGUCGAUAGAAUAAUGUAGGUAAGGAAGUCGGCAAAUUAGAUCCGUAACUUCGGGAUAAGGAUUGGCUCUAAGGACUGGGCCGGUCGGGCUGUAAUGUGAAGUAAGUAUGGUUUGAUCCAUGCAGUGUAACAUUAAUGAAUUUUUUUUCAUUAAGAAAUUCAUUGAUGAAACUCGGCUAGUUUGUUCGAACUAUCUUAUGGACCGUUAUAGCUUAUAUAUCACAUUUAUUUUAUUUUUUUGAAAAAAUAAAAUGAAUGUUUAAAAUUGAUAUUUCGGCCGGUGUUAAACAGUUAACUUAGAACUGGCACGGACUCGGGGAAUCCGACUGUCUAAUUAAAACAGAGGAGACAGAUGGCCCUUGCGGGCGUUGACUGUCUCUGAUUUCUGCCCAGUGCUCUGAAUGUAAAAGUGAAGAAAUUCAACCAAGCGCGGGUAAACGGCGGGAGUAACUAUGACUCUCUUAAGGUAGCCAAAUGCCUCGUCAUCUAAUUCGUGACGCGCAUGAAUGGAUUAACGAGAUUCCCACUGUCCCUAUCUACUAUCUAGCGAAACCACAGCCAAGGGAACGGGCUUGGUAAACACAGCGGGGAAAGAAGACCCUGUUGAGCUUGACUCUAGUCCGACUCUGUGAAGAGUCAUGAGAGGUGUAGCAUAAGUGGGAGGUAUUUUAAUUAAUACCAUCAGUGAAAUACCACUACUUUCAUCGAUUCUUUACUUAUUCGGUAAAACGAGAAUUGAAAUAUUUUAUUAAAAUAUUUCGAAAUUUUUGAUUUAAAUUAAAUUACUCGGUAAUUUAAUGACUUGCACCGAAGACAGUGUCAGGCGGGGAGUUUGACUGGGGCGGUACAUCUGUCAAAAUGUAACGCAGGUGUCCUAAGGCUAGCUCAGAGAGGACGGAAACCUCUCGUAGAGUAAAAGGGCAAAAGCUCGCUUGAUCUUGAUUUCCAGUACGAAUACAGACCGCGAAAGCGUGGCCUAUCGAUCCUUUUGAAUUAAUUAGAAGGUUUCUAGCAAGAGGUGUCAGAAAAGUUACCACAGGGAUAACUGGCUUGUGGCAGCCAAGCGCCCAUAGCGACGUUGCUUUUUGAUCCUUCGAUGUCGGCUCUUCCUAUCAUUGCGAAGCAGAAUUCGCCAAGCGUUGGAUUGUUCACCCACCAAUAGGGAACGUGAGCUGGGUUUAGACCGUCGUGAGACAGGUUAGUUUUACCCUACUGUGAUAUGUUGUUGCGAUAGUAAUCCUGCUCAGUACGAGAGGAACCGCAGGUUCAGACAUUUGGUUCAUGUGCUUGGCCGAUCGGCCAAUGGUGCGAAGCUACCAUCUGAGGGAUUAUGACUGAACGCCUCUAAGUCAGAAUCCCACCUAGACAAGGCAACGAUAUAUAUAUAUAUAUAUAUAUAUAUAUAUGUAGAGAAAUAUAUAUAUAUAAAAUAUUGAGAAAAAAAGAAAUUUCAUUUGAAAAUAUAAAUAAUAUAUAACAUUUUUGAUAAAAAUUAUUUUUAUAAAAAAAUUAUGAAAAAAAAAAUAAUGAAAAAAAAUUUUUCAAAAAAUACUACAACGUUGAUAGAGAGCGAUGAAGUUAUCUAUGUUAGAUGCAGUGUGCUCAUCGCUCAGUCACUAACUUGAGCAAUAGAUUGUUUGGCGAAACGAGGGUUUCAUCGAAUGAGCAAUCAAUUGAUACGGCGCACAACACAUAGCGCGAAUAACCAUUGUGAACAGAAACGGCAGCAACGCCGUAUAAAUUUGAUGAUGGUUAUUUCUAUGUGUUAUGAUGCGAUUGAAUCCAAAAUGAAGAUAACGUAACGGUGUGUAUAUCGAAUAAAUGCAAAUGCUAUGCUCCUUUGUAUAAUACUCGUCUAAUCAUAGAUAUAUACGAUGAAUUUGUCGUAUAUAUUUGUAUAAUUCAUAGAUAUGCAUUGUGACUCGUCUAAUCAUAUAUAUAUACGAUGAUUUUGUCGUAUAUAUCUCUCUAAUCACAAAUACGGAUUAUGACUCGUCUGUGUUUGUCUAAUCAUAGAUAUGCAUUAUGACCUGUCUAAUCAUAGAUAUAUACGAUGAAUUUGUCGUAUAUAUUUGUAUAAUUCAUAGAUAUGCAUUGUGACUCGUCUAAUCAUAUAUAUAUACGAUGAAUUUGUCGUAUAUAUUUGUAUAAUUCAUAGAUAUGCAUUGUGACUCGUCUAAUCAUAUAUAUAUAUACGAUGAAUUUGUCGUAUAUAUUUGUAUAAUUCAUAGAUAUGCAUUGUGACUCGUCUAAUCAUAGAUAUAUACGAUGAUUUUGUCGUAUAUAUCUCUCUAAUCACAAAUACGGAUUAUGACUCGUCUGUGUUUGUCUAAUCAUAGAUAUGCAUUGUGACUCGUCUAAUCAUAUAUAUAUACGAUGAAUUUGUCGUAUAUAUUUGUAUAAUUCAUAGAUAUGCAUUGUGACUCGUCUAAUCAUAGAUAUAUACGAUGAUUUUGUCGUAUAUAUUUCUCUAAUCACAGAUACGGAUUAUGACUCGUCUGUGUUUGUCUAAUCAUAGAUAUGCAUUAUGACCCGUCUAAUCAUAGAUAUAUACGAUGAAUUUGUCGUAUAUAUUUGUAUAAUUCAUAGAUAUGCAUUGUGACUCGUCUAAUCAUAUAUAUAUACGAUGAAUUUGUCGUAUAUAUUUGUAUAAUUCAUAGAUAUGCAUUGUGACUCGUCUAAUCAUAUAUAUAUACGAUGAAUUUGUCGUAUAUAUUUGUAUAAUUCAUAGAUAUGCAUUGUGACUCGUCUAAUCAUAGAUAUAUACGAUGAUUUUGUCGUAUAUAUUUCUCUAAUCACAGAUACGGAUUAUGACUCGUCUGUGUUUGUCUAAUCAUAGAUAUGCAUUAUGACCCGUCUAAUCAUAGAUAUAUACGAUGAAUUUGUCGUAUAUAUUUGUAUAAUUCAUAGAUAUGCAUUGUGACUCGUCUAAUCAUAUAUAUAUACGAUGAAUUUGUCGUAUGUAUUUGUAUAAUUCAUAGAUAUGCAUUGUGACUCGUCUAAUCAUAGAUAUAUACGAUGAUUUUGUCGUAUAUAUUUCUCUAAUCACAGAUACGGAUUAUGACUCGUCUGUGUUUGUCUAAUCAUAGAUAUGCAUUAUGACCCGUCUAAUCAUAGAUAUAUACGAUGAAUUUGUCGUAUAUAUUUGUAUAAUUCAUAGAUAUGCAUUGUGACUCGUCUAAUCAUAUAUAUAUACGAUGAUUUUGUCGUAUAUAUCUCUCUAAUCACAGAUACGGAUUAUGACUCGUCUGUGUUUGUCUAAUCAUAGAUAUGCAUUAUGACCCGUCUAAUCAUAGAUAUAUACGAUGAAUUUGUCGUAUAUAUUUGUAUAAUUCAUAGAUAUGCAUUGUGACUCGUCUAAUCAUAUAUAUAUACGAUGAAUUUGUCGUAUAUAUUUGUAUAAUUCAUAGAUAUGCAUUGUGACUCGUCUAAUCAUAUAUAUAUACGAUGAAUUUGUCGUAUAUAUUUGUAUAAUUCAUAGAUAUGCAUUGUGACUCGUCUAAUCACAGAUAUAUACGAUGAUUUUGUCGUAUAUAUUUCUCUAAUCACAGAUACGGAUUAUGACUCGUCUGUGUUUGUCUAAUCAUAGAUAUGCAUUAUGACCCGUCUAAUCAUAGAUAUAUACGAUGAAUUUGUCGUAUAUAUUUGUAUAAUUCAUAGAUAUGCAUUGUGACUCGUCUAAUCAUAGAUAUAUACGAUGAUUUUGUCGUAUAUAUCUCUCUAAUCACAGAUACGGAUUAUGACUCGUCUGUGUUUGUCUAAUCAUAGAUAUGCAUUAUGACCCGUCUAAUCAUAGAUAUAUACGAUGAAUUUGUCGUAUAUAUUUGUAUAAUUCAUAGAUAUGCAUUGUGACUCGUCUAAUCAUAUAUAUAUACGAUGAAUUUGUCGUAUAUAUUUGUAUAAUUCAUAGAUAUGCAUUGUGACUCGUCUAAUCAUAUAUAUAUACGAUGAAUUUGUCGUAUAUAUUUGUAUAAUUCAUAGAUAUGCAUUGUGACUCGUCUAAUCAUAGAUAUAUACGAUGAAUUUGUCGUAUAUAUUUGUAUAAUUCAUAGAUAUGCAUUGUGACUCGUCUAAUCAUAUAUAUAUACGAUGAUUUUGUCGUAUAUAUUUCUCUAAUCACAGAUACGGAUUAUGACUCGUCUGUGUUUGUCUAAUCAUAGAUAUGCAUUAUGACCCGUCUAAUCAUAGAUAUAUACGAUGAAUUUGUCGUAUAUAUUUGUAUAAUUCAUAGAUAUGCAUUGUGACUCGUCUAAUCAUAUAUAUAUACGAUGAUUUUGUCGUAUAUAUUUGUCUAAUCAUAGAUAUGCAUUAUGACCCGUCUAAUCAUAUAUAUAUACGAUGAAUUUGUCGUAUAUAUUUGUAUAAUUCAUAGAUAUGCAUUGUGACUCGUCUAAUCAUAUAUAUAUACGAUGAAUUUGUCGUAUAUAUUUGUAUAAUUCAUAGAUAUGCAUUGUGACUCGUCUAAUCAUAUAUAUAUACGAUGAAUUUGUCGUAUAUAUUUGUAUAAUUCAUAGAUAUGCAUUGUGACUCGUCUAAUCAUAUAUAUAUACGAUGAAUUUGUCGUAUAUAUUUGUAUAAUUCAUAGAUAUGCAUUGUGACUCGUCUAAUCAUAUAUAUAUACGAUGAAUUUGUCGUAUGUAUUUGUAUAAUUCAUAGAUAUGCAUUGUGACUCGUCUAAUCACAGAUAUAUACGAUGAUUUUGUCGUAUAUAUUUCUCUAAUCACAGAUACGGAUUAUGACCCGUCUGUGUUUGUCUAAUCAUAGAUAUGCAUUAUGACCCGUCUAAUCAUAGAUAUAUACGAUGAAUUUGUCGUAUAUAUUUGUAUAAUUCAUAGAUAUGCAUUGUGACUCGUCUAAUCAUAUAUAUAUACGAUGAUUUUGUCGUAUAUAUCUCUCUAAUCACAGAUACGGAUUAUGACUCGUCUGUGUUUGUCUAAUCAUAGAUAUGCAUUAUGACCCGUCUAAUCAUAGAUAUAUACGAUGAAUUUGUCGUAUAUAUUUGU